UACGUAGGGUGCAAGCGUUGCCCGGAUUCAUUGGGCGUAAAGCGCGCGCAGGCGGCCUUCCAAGUCCCGCGUGAAAUCGCCCGGCUCAACCGGGCGGGGUCGCGGGAGACUGGGGGGCUCGAGCGAGGGAGGGGGCAGUGGAAUUCCCGGUGUAGUGGUGGAAUGCGUAGAUAUCGGGAGGAACACCAAUGGCGAAGGCAGCUCGCUGGGACGUGACUGACGCUGAGACGCGAAAGCGUGGGGAGCAAACAGG
rnacentral:rRNA from 1 species